rnacentral:rRNA from 1 species
GACAGAGGGUGCAAACGUUGCUCGGAAUUACUGGGCGUAAAGCGCGUGUAGGCGGGCCGGAAAGUCGGGCGUGAAAUCCCUGGGCUCAACCCAGGAACUGCACUCGAAACUUCCGGUCUAGAGUGGUGGAGAGGGAAGUGGAAUUCCUGGUGUAGAGGUGAAAUUCGUAGAUAUCAGGAGGACACCAGUGGCGAAGGCGGCUUCCUGGACACCAACUGACACUGAGACGCGAAAGCGUGGGGAGCAAACAGG